rnacentral:lncRNA from 1 species
UAUUCAAAAAUAUGUAUAAUGCCAUGAUUCUUGAAAAAAAAAAUGGGAAUUUUUGAAGUGUAGACCUAGGCAGCAAUACUGAAUCAUAUUUCCUAGGUGAAAAUGUAUCAGUGGCUUCCUCUUGCUUUUGGGGGUUCUGUCCCUAACAGAGCUUACAAGGCUGAGAAGCUUUGGUCCCUUCCUAGCUCACCUCAUUCACUUCCUGGGCUUCCCUGCCUGCCUCUUAACCAUCCACCCAGGAGGGCCUCCUUUUAGUUAGUCUUCUUUCUAGAGCUGUCUCCCAACAUAGCACUAGUGCACGGGUGGUGUUCUCCACUCAGAAGCCUUCCUAUGCCCCCUCUUCUCCUCAGCUUUCUCUUUCCUCUUGGAGGCCUUCUCCUACAUUCCUAUGUUAGUCAAUCCCCCAUAUAACCCUUCUCUUACCAUCCCGGAGCUGCUUUGUACCACCUACCACUGUGUCAUACUUAGUCACCAUAGGUCUUUUCCAAUAUUCCAGAAGUAAAUGAGGCAGGAAUUUUGUUCUUAUUCAGGAUGGUAAUAUACCCGGCACAUAGUCAGCACCCAGAUAUUUGCUACAUGACUGAAAGAAUCCCACUGUACCACUCUUUAUUCCAGACCCCAAGAAAUUUAACAAAAACCUCAUUUUCUGGUCAACAUUCCUCUUCUUCAAAAUACAGACCAUGUCAAGUUAUUUUGGGGUAUGUACCUUCCAUUGUAUUUGUCUACCCAGGAUGUACAAUAACAAAAUAUUACUGGUUUAUAAUGCCCUGUAAAUGUGCCUUGUCUAACAAGGGUGUCAUACAAAAAUUGUGUAUUUUCUGUUCUACUUUGGCAUUCCAUUUGGUAUUAAUAAUCAUAAACAACCCCCUCUGAAGGUGGUUUUUCCUCAAGGUGAUUUGGCAAACACUAAUUCUAUAGCCACAGGAAAGCACCACCUCCUUUUUAGGAGCCUUCCCUUCAUUUCUCUGAGCAGCUAUGUUGUGUUAAAUCCUUGGUGUCUCAAGGGGCUUUCUGCCAACUAGAAACCAGUGAUUAUAACUUGAUACAGUGCAAAUGCUAUCAAGAAACUUCUGUCAAUCCACUUCUCCUAAGUACUUACCUUGGUUGGAUAGCAAAGGCCAUAUAUUUAAAAUAAAUAAAGUAAAAUGAAGUACUAAUGCAAUGAUCUAAUCUAGUUAAGAGAAAUUACCUAAGUAAUGAUUAUUUUGGAAAGGGAUCAUUCUGUUCUGGCUUGGAAUGGACUUGCAUUUCCACAUGUCACUCUGUCAGCCUUCCUCAUUAUUGUCACUGCAGUUAUCAGCAUAGUCCAAGCAUUUCUAUCUUAUCUCUUACCUCCCCCUUACUGUCCUUAGCCAUUUGGAACCACUACCUAGGAGCUCUGGCCCUAGAAAGGACUGAGUGGCUGCCUUUCUGAAAUCAGCUGGAUACAAUCAAGAGAACAGAACAGGAGCCCUUUGCGUUUCUCACUUUGAGAAGGCUCUUGGAAACUUCCCAAGUCCCAACUCUCAGGUUAUUGUAAAUUCCUUGUGUUGUCAAAGGGACCAAUCACAGACACAGAGACAAAAUUGUCUGUCAAGAUAUUUGUAAAAAUAAGCAUGGGCUGAUAGGUUUUAUUACUGAGUAAACUGUUACAUCUUUAAUUUCAUAUUCGAAGCUACAGGGUACUCCAGACUUAAUAGGUAUAAAUGAGGUAAAAUGGACUAUCAUUAAAUCACAUUGAACUUCAGAGAUAAAUAGUUCGUUUAUUAUCUAAUUUAGUUUUCAUAUUGCUUGUGUGCUUGCAGAAAAUGGAAACAAAGCUGCUGGUAUUUUAGAAAGUUUCAAGAUGGCCACUGUCAUCUAAAUUAGAACUUUGGCUUGUUUCCAGUUUGUGUAGAACCCUGGCCCUUUCUGUAAUAACAAUAAUAACAAAUGCAAACCUAAAACAGUCUUGGUCUUGAGUUUGCAUUCCAUCCAUCUUCUUUGAAAUGUUAAACAGCUGGUUUUAAGAAAAAAAAAAUCAACAUGUUUGGAGAGAAAAAGGCAGCCCACAAAAUAAAUCAGGGUCAAGCGUUGUUAUUUCACGGGUAAUUAUAAAGCAGUCCAAUUUAUUAGUAAAUCUUGCAUCAUGCUUAGUUAUAGCCACAAGCAUGGCAAUUGUUCUUCGGCUCACAUUGGAAAGUGGCUAAAUUACAGGGUUUCGGAAAAUAUGGGGCCAACCAUCAUGGCAAAGAAUGCCAUGUGAUCUUGUCAUACCUUGCUUCCCUAAGUUUUCUAUCUUGCAAGUGAAAUUGUGUCUUUGUAUAGUUCAUUUUUCCAAUUAAUUCAUGAAUUUUUACCAACAGUUACUUGGAAACAAAAAGACGCCCACAAUAAAUUAUUGAAAAGAAAAUGCUUGCUAGUUUAAUUGAAGAGCAGAUGGUUGGCUCAAAGGGUCUUCUUACUGUGUUUCAAUAUCACAGCAAGGAAGAGGGGGACAGGUUGCAGUGGCCCUGUUCAGCUAACACAAACAACUUGGAGGAGGGUGAGGCACAGCAUUUUGAGAAAGCCAACUACUUUCUGGCUUUAAUUACAGUUUAGGAAGACUCUUCAGCCUCUCUUUUCAAGCAAAAGGUCUGACAAGGUAUCUCUAAACAAGUCUUCAAGAAAAUAUAGACCCAGGUCAAAAACAUGGAGUCCAGAGUUUUUAGACCAGGCAAUACCAAGAUUUAAAGCGAAGUCAGCUUCACUUUUUCUCUCACAUAACUACAAACAAAUAGUACUUUUAUCCCAUAAGGAAAUGCUCACUUCUUCACUGAUUGCUGAAUAUUUGUCUCCUUCACAGAAACCAGAAAUCUGGUUCUAUGAAACAGGUCCCUCUCCUAGUGCUCUAAGUUCCUUUCUUCUGUUUUUAUCAGGUCACGCAGAUUAAGGUACCCAAAUUUAAGAUGGAUACCCAAAUAAAACAGAAUCAGUUUAAUUGUGAAAUUCAGAAAUUAAACUAGAACACCAAAUUCAGUCAUUUCUCUUUGGGAAAUUUGCAUAUAUAAAUGAGUUGUUUAACUUAUUUUCUUCUGUCCAAUACAUUAAACCCAGCAUCAAAUACAGCUUAGUCCUGCUGUAAUUUUUUAAAAAGGAAUUUAGUCCAUAUCCAUGUGAAGCCAAAUAUCUGGAUGGGAAUUAGAGUCUUUAAUAAAACACAAAAACCAAACCAAACCUGAGUGCAUUGUUCAACUCCAAACUUCUGCUUAUAUUAGAAAUAAAUUACCUGACAAUUAUCUGGAUAAUUGCCCAAAAAUCUACAAGUGAGUAAAAUUUGGGUAGAUGCUACAAAAUCUUUAGAUUAAAAAUGCAUGCAGUCUCACUCAUGGGUGUAGUCUCUGAUCAUCAACCAGAGCCUACAUAUUUUUAUUUCACUUAGAAUUCUAACGAACUUGGCUAACUCAGUUCCUGAAUUGCAAUAAUUUAUACAAUUGUGAGUAGAAGAAAAAAAACUACUUGAGGCAGGAAUGGCAGUAGCAAAAAGAAGUGAUAGUUGACGAUAAGGAAAAUGGCAGAAGAGCUCUUAAAGAAUUCAAAAGACAUUUUAAACUAGAUCUAUUUAAUGUGGGAUCAAAGGCUCAUGCCCUAAGGCUAUUUAUUAUUUCUCAAACAUCUCUGGUCAUAAGAAUCACCAGGAAGGCUUGUUUAAACACUCAGCUUUUCCAGUUCUUGGAGAUUCUGUCUGAUUCAGUGUGUCUGGGAUAGGACCCAGGAAUCCGUACUUAACAAAUAAUACAAACAACAUUCAGCAGUGUUUGGCAAAUACUGUUUUGGAAGUAUCAGAGCUUAAACAAGCAAUAGCUCUAAGACAUUAAGAAGAGGCUUAAUCAUAUGCCUCACCCUGUUUAAAUGGUUAAAGGAUAUUUUGACCAUAUUAUUUAAAUAUUUCUGUCAACAAUGGGAUAUUUUAAGGGGUAAGUCUUAGUAAGUGUAAGAUUCACUUUUCUGUCACUGAUCAUUCCCUAACAGGUGGCUUAUUGAGAAAAAGUAGUGUAGAGAGCCAUCCUCAGUGAAGAACCUGUGCGGACUGUGAAUGACAUGAUUUGGACUAAGCAUAAAUAGCUUUUUUUCAUAAUUGUUAUUUUCAAAUAGGAAGGCAAGUACCUGUAUAAAACCUAUUUUUUAUCAUUUCAGGUGGGAUUUCAGUGGAAAUGGCCUUUAUUUGUAUAAUUGGGGAAUUACUGUGGAAUAUCUUUGAAGAUUUUGUCCCCACUUUUCAGUAAAGAUUUUGGCACUAAUUUCUCUCAAUCUCAAAUGCCGCUAUCCUUUAGGAUACUCCAGUAUCCAUUUGGAUGACCUCCCUGGCUAACAACCUAGACUUUGAGUUCCUUGUACUCAGUGUCUCUGUGACAUUUGUCUGUAAGCCACUUCAGGUAGACCAUUCCAUUGUCACACACCAGAUCUUGUUAUAACCCCAGUCUUCUUCCAAGAUAUGGAAUUCAACCGUCCUGCUACCAGGAUGUUUGAAUUUUGUAUCCUGUUCUUAUAUUUGCUUUUUUCCUACCACACAGUUUCUGGGAAAGGUGGGAACUUCUGACCCCUUGUUUCUUCUUAUCCCUCUAAACAAGUCUGCUUUGUCUUCAUGUCUUUCCCAACCCAAUUUAGAUAUGCUGUCCGUGUCCUUAACUGUCUUGUCCUUCUAUCAUAACUUUUUGGAAGAGUCCCCAUGCUGGGUAAAUCUAAUUGGACCAAUCUUAGAUCAGUGCAGUUAUACUGCUUGUGAAAAUCAAACAGAUUUGAAGAUAGAUGCAACUGUAUAUAAAUGAUCUCCAAAAUCACAUCCCUCAACAGGGCCCAGCCAUCCUUCUAGAUAUCCUUACUUGACUCUCUCCAUUGAAUCCGUGUUGUGCUUUCAACACUUCGAUAUGUUCCUUGUACCUCCUAUCUUUCCUUCUCUAUUGUUCUCAACAGAUAAUCUUGUCUGUAACUUCAAAGAAAAAAUGUGCGCCAUCAUAAAGAGAAGCUGUCAACAAUGUGCCAUCUUUCGAUUGUGAUGAUACUUUCUUUUGUCUGUAGUAAAUGUUGCUACCAUGGUCUGGAACAAUCUCUUUUUACUUCAGUCUCUCCUGACUGCUCAGUUUUCACAGUUCAGAUAUUUAUCAUUAAAAAGAAAACAACCCUACAUACAAACUUUCCUUCUCCCUCAGAACUCUUCCACUUUAAUCUAGUCUCUGCUUCAUGGUCAAAUUUACUGAGUUGUGCAUUUGAGUGUCUUUAUUUCUCACCUUUACUUAAACUCAAACCUAAAUAACUUGGCUUUUGAUUCUAGGGCUCUGUUAAAUUUGUUCUUGCCAAAUUAAUGGAUCUAUUUAUUUAUUAUUAAGUCCAGGGCACAGCUUUUAUUCCAUACUUGACUUAAUUUUUAAGAAACAUUGGAACUAUAUAGAUCAUAAAUUUCUUUUAUUGGCUUUUGAAACCUUACAUUCUUCUUGCUUUUCUACUACUUCUCUUUAUCUCUUUUGCAGCAUCUUGUAACUACUCUUUAAGUCUAGUUUUCCUAUGGUCCCAAUCAUUGAUCCUUUAGUUUCCUCACUUGAUACACCAAUUAAUGCUGCAGUUUCUAUAGCAUCUAUAUUUUGAUGACUUUCAACUCACAUCUUCAAUUCCUGUGCCUCUGUUAAGCCCAGUCCUUUCUGUAUAACCAGUUUCCUUCUGUAGAUUGGUUGCAGAUACCCACUGCCACAGUUCUCAUCCAUACCACAGUCAUGUCUCACUAGGACCACUAAAAUAGUCUCCUAAUGGCCUCUCAGCCUCCAGGCUUGACCACCCCUCAUCUACAUUUUCAUUAAGAUGAUAUCUUAAAAUGCAAAGCUGAUCCCAAGAUUCUGUUGGAAAAUUUCUGGAGGCUUCUCAUUGCACUCAAGGUAAUGGACUAUGAGUUACAAGGUACUCCAUGAUCUCCAACAACCCACCUUAAUUACAAAGAAGAUCUUCCAUGAGUUCCGAGCCUUAGCCAUAUUAAAAAUAUUUAUUUUUUGUGAUUGAACCAGGAUGUGUACCACUUCUAGGCUCUUUUAUACUGUAUGUUCUUGGCCUGGGGUACUUUGCUGCCCUGACUUCUAUACUUAUACUCUUUGGGCCUUUCUCUAGAAAUUCUUACUAAUCAUUAAAUUGGGCCAGAUGACUGUGCUCUGUGCUCCUGUAGCAAGUUAUAAUUCCCAUCUUUUAUUCAUCAUUCUAUUUGUGCUUCCCAUUAAGCCAACUGAUCCUUGGGAAGGGGGACUAUAUAUCUUGGUCAUCACUGGGGCAUAGUUCCUAGAUCAAACUAUGUGCUCACUUAAGAAUAGGUCUGUGGGAGUUCCUGUCGUGGCUCAGUGGUUAACGAAUCCAACUAGGAACCACGAGGUUGCGGGUUCGAUCCCUGGCCUUGCUCAGUGGGUUAAGGAUCUGGCAUUGUCACGAGCUGUGGUGUAGUUCGCAGAUGCGGCUGGGAUCCCGCUUUGGCUGUGGCUGUGGUGUAGGCCAUCGGCUACAGCUCCGAUUGGACCCCUAGCCCCUGGGAGCCUCCAUAUGCUGUGGGAGCGGCCCUGGAAAAG